AUUGAACGCUGGCGGCAUGCUUUACACAUGCAAGUCGAACGGCAGCGCGGGCUUCGGCCUGGCGGCGAGUGGCGAACGGGUGAGUAAUGCAUCGGAACGUGCCCAGUAGUGGGGGAUAGCCCGGCGAAAGCCGGAUUAAUACCGCAUACGACCUGAGGGUGAAAGCGGGGGACCGAAAGGCCUCGCGCUAUUGGAGCGGCCGAUGUCGGAUUAGCUAGUUGGUGGGGUAAAGGCUUACCAAGGCGACGAUCCGUAGCUGGUCUGAGAGGACGACCAGCCACACUGGGACUGAGACACGGCCCAGACUCCUACGGGAGGCAGCAGUGGGGAAUUUUGGACAAAGGGGGCAACCCUGAUCCAGCCAUGCCGCGUGCGGGAAGAAGGCCUUCGGGUUGUAAACCGCUUUUGUUCGGGAAGAAAUCCUCUGGGCUAAUACCCCGGGGGGAUGACGGUACCGGAAGAAUAAGCACCGGCUAACUACGUA
rnacentral:rRNA from 1 species